UACGGAGGGGGCUAGCGUUGCUCGGAAUUACUGGGCGUAAAGCGCACGUAGGCGGCUUUCUAAGUCGGGGGUGAAAUCCUGGAGCUCAACUCCAGAACUGCCCUUGAUACUGGCGGUCUCGAGUCCGGGAGAGGUGAGUGGAACUGCGAGUGUAGAGGUGAAAUUCGUAGAUAUUCGCAAGAACACCAGUGGCGAAGGCGGCUCACUGGCCCGGUACUGACGCUGAGGUGCGAAAGCGUGGGGAGCAAACAGG
rnacentral:rRNA from 1 species